rnacentral:rRNA from 1 species
GAUCCUGCUCAGAACGAACGCUGGCGGCAGGCUUAACACAUGCAAGUUGAACGGGAUUUGUGUGGUGCUUGCACCAUAUAAUGAGAGUAGCGCACUGGUGAGUAACACGUGGGAACGUGCCUUUUAGUGGGGGAUAACAUCUGGAAACGGAUGCUAAUACCGCGUACGCCCUGAGGGGGGAAAGAUUUAUUGCUAAGAGGUCGGCCCGCGGUAGAUUAGGCAGUUGGUGGGGUAAAGGCCUACCAAACCUACGAU